rnacentral:lncRNA from 1 species
UUGAAUGCACGCAUUCAAUACAACGACGUUUGUUAAUACAACACCGUCGUUGUAACAAUUUUUUAAAUUAUUUUUCAUCUCUGAAAAAAUCGUGUCACCAUUACCUAGCUUUCUUGUUUUCGUUGUGCCCUUCAUCCCUAGCCGCACACGUAACCCCCUUCAUCUGAGAAAAAGUUUUUUUUCAUGUUUGUGUUACCUACCCUCCGCCGUCGUGGCCUCCUUCGUGGGCUUCCGCAGUUUGUGGGUCGUGCGUAACUCCGGCCUAGGUUGUUGUUGGUGAGGUAAGUAAAGUUUGGAUGUCAUUUUUUAUCAAACAUAAUGUUGCAUUGCAUUAGGACAAACACGACCUACUUGGGUUUGUGAAUGCAUGUUGCAAUUCUUGCAUUGCAUUGAAAAAUAGCGUUGUAGAAGUUGAUUCAUGUAAUUUUUUUUCUGUGUACACUAGUAAAAUCCUACCUCUUGUGAGAAUAAGCACAACUUAGUUUUGAAUGUUUGGAAUAGAACCAAGGAAAGUUUAAAAGAUAAAAGGCUUUGCCAUUUUAAAAUUUUCGAGGAUUUGUGCUUCUCGUGAUUGAACAUAAUCCUUUUAAGUGCAAUUGAGUAGAUCAAUGAUGUAUUUCCUUAUAAUGUGUAGCACUAUAAUGGAAUAGCAGAGUGGGACAGCAUUAGGCUGCUGUUUGAUUCAAAUAACAGACAUAAUAGAAGG